rnacentral:lncRNA from 1 species
AGCUAGAAUCAAAAUCAGUAGCAAUUCAAAAUCACUUCAAAAACUCUAAGUGCUCUAGCAAAUUAUACAUGGUUACGCUUGAUUAGGAGGCUUAGACACUAAUCCAGCAAGUCAAAAGUCAAAUUUGCCCUUGAAAGAUGCAUUUUGGGUUAAAUUCGAAACUUGAAAUUUCGUAUAGAAACUUAAGAUUCUAUCAAACUAAAAGUUGUAGAUUUUUACAUUUCUAGCAAUUAUUCCUAUUAGCACUUUGAAUGGUUUGGAGAGUAAGAGGUUCAAAAGCUAGAGUGAAAAUUAGUAGCAAUUCAAAAUCACUUCAAACACUCUAAGUGCUCUAGCAAAUUAUACUUUGUUACGCUUGAUUAGGAGGCUUAGACACUAAUCCAGCAACUAUUCCUAUUAGCACUUUGAAUGGUUUGGAGAGGAAGAGGUUCAAAAGCUAGAAUGAAAAUCAGUAGCAAUUCAAAAUCGCUUCAAAAACUCCAAGUGCUGUAGCAAAUUAUACUUGGUUACGCUUGAUUAGGAGGCUUAGACACUAAUCCAGCAAGUGAAAAGUCAAAUUUGCCCUUAAAAGCUCAAUUUUGGGUUAAAUUCGAAACAUGAAAUUUUGUAUAGAAACUUAAGAUUUUGUCAAACGAAAAGUUUUAGAGUUUUACAUUUCUAGCAACUUUUCUUAUUAGCACUUUGAAUGGUUUGGACAGGAAGAGGUUCAAAAGCUAGAAUCAAAAUCACUAGAAAUUCAAAAUCACUUCAAAAACUCUAAGUGCUCUAGCAAAUUAUACUUGGUUACGCUUGAUUAGGAGGCUUAGACACCAAUCCAACAAGUGAAAAGUCAAAUUUGCCCUUAAAAGCUCAAUUUUGCGUUAAAUUCGAAACAUGAAAUUUUGUAUAGAAACUUAAGAUUUUGUCAACUAAAAGUUGUAGAGUUUGACAUUUAUAGCAACUUUUCUUAUUAGCACUUUAAACGGUUUCGAGAAGAAAAGGUUUUAAAAGCUAGAAUCAAAAUCAGUAGCAAUUCAAAAUCACUUCAAACACUCUAAGUGCUCUAGCAAAUUAUACUUGGUUACGCUUGAUUAGGAGGCUUAGACACUAAUCCAGCAAGUGAAAAGUCAAAUUUGCCCUUGAAAGCUUAAUUUUGGGUUAAAUUCCAAACUUGAAAUUUCGUAUAGAAACUUAAGAUUCUGUCAAACUGAAAGUUGUUGAUUUUUACAUUUCUAGCAACUAUUCCUAUUAGCACUUUGAAUGGUUUGGAGAAUAAGACGUUCAAAAGGUAGAAUGAAAAUCAGUAGCAAUUCAAAAUCUCUUCAAAAACUCUAAGUGCUCUAGCAAAUUAUACUUGGUUAGGCUUGAUUAGGAGGCUUAGACACCAAUCCAACAAGUGAAAAGUCAAAUUUGCCCUUAACAACUCAAUUUUGGGUUAAAUUCGAAACCUGAAAUUUCGUACAGAAACUUAAGAUUCUGUCAAACGAAAGGUUGUAGAGUUUUACAUUUCUAGCAACUUUUUGUCGUAGCACUUUGAAUGGUUUGGAGAAAAAGAGGUCCAAAAGCUAGAAUCAAAAUCAGUAGCAAUUCAAAAUCACUUCAAAAACUCUAAGUGCUCUAGCAAAUUAUACUUGGUUACGCUUGAUUAGGAGGCUUAGACACUAAUCCAGCAAGUCAAAAGUCAAAUUUGCCCUUGAAAGAUGCAUUUUGGGUUAAAUUCGAAACUUGAAAUUUCGUAUAGAAACUUAAGAUUCUAUCAAACUAAAAGUUGUAGAUUUUUACAUUUCUAGCAAUUAUUCCUAUUAGCACUUUGAAUGGUUUGGAGAGUAAGAGGUUCAAAAGCUAGAGUGAAAAUCAGUAGCAAUUCAAAAUCACUUCAAACACUCUAAGUGCUCUAGCAAUUUAUACUUGGUUACGCUUGAUUAGGAGGCUUAGACGCUAAUCCAGCAAGUGAAAAGUCAAAUUUGCCCUGAACAACUAAAUUUUGUGUUAAAUUCGAAACAUGAAAUUUUCUAUAGAAACAUAAGAUUUUGUCAAACUAAAAGUUGUAGAGUUUGACAUUUCUAGAAACUUUUGUUAUUAGCACUUUGAAUGGUUUGGAGAGGAAGAGGUCGAAAAGCUAGAAUCAAAAUCAGUAGCAAUUCAAAAUCACUUCAAAAACUCUAAGUGCUCGAGCAAAUUAUACUUGGUUACACUUGAUUAGGAGGCUGAGACACUAAACCAGCAAGUGAAAAGUCAAAUUUGCCCUUGAAAACUCAAUUUUGGGUUAAAUUCGAAACUUGAAAUUUUGUACAGAAACUUAAGUUUUUGUCAAACGAAAAGUUGUAGAGUUUUACAUUUCUAGCAACUUUUCUAAUUAGGACUUUGGAUGGUUUGGAGAGGAAGAGGUUCAAAAUCUAGAAUCAAAAUCAGUAGCAAUUCAAAAUUACUUCAAACACUCUAAGUGCUCUAGCAAAUUAUACUUGGUUACGCUUGAUUAGGAGGCUUAGACACUAAUCCAGCAACUAUUCCUAUUAGCACUUUGAAUGGUUUGGAGAGGAAGAGGUUCAAAAGCUAGAAUGAAAAUCAGUAGCAAUUCAAAAUCGCUUCAAAAACUCCAAGUGCUGUAGCAAAUUAUACUUGGUUACGCUUGAUUAGGAGGCUUAGACACUAAUCCAGCAAGUGAAAAGUCAAAUUUGCCCUUAAAAGCUCAAUUUUGGGUUAAGUUCGAAACAUGAAAUUUUGUAUAGAAACUUAAGAUUUUGUCAAACGAAAAGUUUUAGAGUUUUACAUUUCUAGCAACUUUUCUUAUUAGCACUUUGAAUGGUUUGGACAGGAAGAGGUUCAAAAGCUAGAAUCAAAAUCACUAGCAAUUCAAAAUCACUUCAAAAACUCUAAGUGCUCUAGCAAAUUAUACUUGGUUACGCUUGAUUAGGAGGCUUAGACACCAAUCCAACAAGUGAAAAGUCAAAUUUGCCCUUAAAAGCUCAAUUUUGCGUUAAAUUCGAAACAUGAAAUUUUGUAUAGAAACUUAAGAUUUUGUCAACUAAAAGUUGUAGAGUUUGACAUUUAUAGCAACUUUUCUUAUUAGCACUUUAAACGGUUUCGCGAAGAAAAGGUUUUAAAAGCUAGAAUCAAAAUCAGUAGCAAUUCAAAAUCACUUCAAACACUCUAAGUGCUCUAGCAAAUUAUACUUGGUUACGCUUGAUUAGGAGGCUUAGACACUAAUCCAGCAAGUGAAAAGUCAAAUUUUCCCUUGAAAGCUCAAUUUUGGGUUAAAUUCGAAACAUGGAAUUUUGUAUAGAAACUGAAGUUUUUGUCAAACGAAAUGUUGUAGAGUUUUACAUUUCUAGCAACUUUUGUUAUUAGCACUUUGAAUGGUUUGGAGAGGAAGAGGUUCAAAAGCUAGAAUCAAAUCAGCAGCAAUUCAAAAUCACUUCAAACACUCUAAGUGCUCUAGCAAUUUAUACUUGGUUACGCUUGAUUAGGAGGCUUAGACACUAAUCCAACAAGUGAAAAGUCAAAUUUGCCCAUAAAAGCUCAAUUUUGCGUUAAAUUCGAAACAUGAAAUUUUGUAUAGAAACUUAAGAUUUUGUCAAACUAAAAGUUGUAGAGUUUGACAUUUAUAGCAACUUUUCUUAUUAGCACUUUGAACGGUUUCGAGAAGAAAAGAUUCAAAAGCUAGAAUCAAAAUAAGUAGCAAUUCAAAAUCACUUCAAACACUCUAAGUGCUCUAGCAAAUUAUACUUGGUUACGCUUGAUUAGGAGGCUUAGACACUAAUCCAGCAAGUGAAAAGUCAGAUUUGCCCUUGAAAGCUCAGUUUUGGGUUAAAUUCGAAACAUGGAAUUUUGUAUAGAAACUAAAGUUUUUGUCAAACGAAAUGUUGUAGAGUUUUACAUUUCUAGCAACUUUUGUUAUUAGCACUUUGAAUGGUUUGGAGAGGAAGAGGUUCAAAAGCUAGAAUCAAAAUCAGCAGCAAUUCAAAAUCACUUCAAACACUCUAAGUGCUCUAGCAAUUUAUACUUGGUUACGCUUGAUUAGGAGGCUUAGACACUAAUCCAACAAGUGAAAAGUCAAAUUUGCCCUUAAAAGCUCAAUUUUGCGUUAAAUUCGAAACAUGAAAUUUUGUAUAGAAACUUAAGAUUUUGUCAAACUAGAAGUUGUAGAGUUUGGCAUUUACAGCAACUUUUCUUAUUAGCACUUUGAACGGUUUCGAGAAGAAAAGAUUCAAAAGCUAGAAUCAAAAUCAGUAGCAAUUCAAAAUCACUUCAAACACUCUAAGUGCUCUAGCAAUUUAUACUUCGUUACACAUGAUUAGGAGGCUUAGACCCUAAUCCAGCAAGUGAAAAGUCAAAUUUGUCCUUGAAAGCUCAAUUUUGGGUUAAAUUCAAAACUUGAAAUUUUGUAUAAAAACCUAAAUUUUUGUCAAACGAAAAGUAGUAGAGUUUUAUAUUUCUAGCAACUUUUCUAAUUAGCACUUUGGAUGGUUUCGAGAGGAAGAGGUUCAAAAGCUAGAAUGAAAAUCAGUAGCAAUUCAAAAUCACUUCAAAAAGUCUAUGUUCUCUAGCAAAUUAUACUUGGUUAUGCUUGAUUUGGAGGCUUAGACACUAAUCCAGCAAGUCAAAAGUCAAAUUUGCCCUUGAAAGCACAAUUUUGGGUUAAAUUCGAAACUUGAAAUUUCGUACAGAAACUUAAGAUUCUGUCAAACGAAAGGUUGUAGAGUUUUACAUUUCUAGCAACUUUUCGUAUUAGCACUUUGAAUGGUUUGGAGAAAAAGAGGUCCAAAAGCUAGAAUCAAAAUCAGUAGCAAUUCAAAAUCACUUCAAAAACUCUAAAUGCUCUAGCAAAUUAUACUUGGUUACGCUUGAUUAGGAGGCUUACGCACUAAUCCAACAAGUGAAAAGUCAAAUUUGCCCUUAACAACUCAAUUUUGGGUUAAAUUCGAAACCUGAAAUUUCGUAUAGAAACUUAAGAUUUUGUCAAACGAAAAGUUGUAGAGUUUUACAUUUCGAGCAACUUUUCUUAUUAGCACUUUAAAUGGUUUGGAGAGGAAGAGGUUCAAAAGCUAGAAUCAAAAUCAGUAGCAAUUCAAAAUCACUUCAAAACCUCUAAGUGCUCUAGCAAAUUAUACUUGGUUACGCUUGAAUAGGAGGCUUAGACAGUAAUCCAACAAGUAAAAAGUCAAGUUUGCCCUUAAAAGCUCAAUUUUGCGUUAAACUCGAAACAUGAAAUUUUGAAUAGAAACUUAAGGUUUUGUCAAACUAAAAGUUGUAGAGUUUGACAUUUAUAGCAACUUUUCUUAUUAGCACUUUGAAUGGUUUCGAGAAGAAAAGGUUCAAAAGCUAGAAUCAAAAUCAGUAGCAAUUCAAAAUCACUUCAAACACUCUAAGUGCUUUAGCAAAUUAUACUUGGUUACGCUUGAUUAGGAGGCUUAGACACUAAUCCAGCAAGUGAAAAGUCAAAUUUGCCCUUGAAAGCUGAUUUUUUGGGUUAAAUUCGAAACUUGAAAUUUCGUAUAGAAACUUAAGAUUCUGUCAAACUGAAAGUUGUAGAUUUUUACAUUUCUAUCAACUAUUCCUAUUAGCACUUUGAAUGGUUUGGAGAGUAAGAGGUUCAAAAGCUAGAAUGAAAAUCAGUAGCAAUUCAAAAUCACUUCAAAAACUCUAAGUCCUCUAGCAAAUUAUACUUGAUUACGCUUGAUUAGGAGGCUUAGACACUAAUCCAACAAGUGAAAAGUCAAAUUUGCCCUUAACAAUUCAAUUUUGGGUUAAAUUCGAAACUUGAAAUUUCGUAUAGAAACUUAGGAUUCUAUCAAAUGAAAGGUUGUAGAGUUUUACAUUUCUAGCAACUUUUCGUAUUAGCACUUUGAAUGGUUUGGAGAACAAGAGGUCCAAAAGCUAGAAUCAAAAUCAGUAGCAAUUCAAAAUCACUUCAAAAACUCUAAGUGCUCUAGCAAAUUAUACUUGGUUACGGUUGAUUAGGAGGCUUAGACACUAAUCCAGUAAGUGAAAAGUCAAAUUUGCCCUCAACAACUCAAUUUUGGGUUAAAUUCGAAACUUGAAAUUUCGUAUAGAAACUUAAGAUUCUGUCAAACUAAAAGUUGUAGAUUUUUACCUUUCCAGCAACUAUUCCUAUUAGCACUUUGAAUGGUUUGGAGAGGAAGAGGUUCAAAAGCUAGAAUGAAAAUCAGUAGCAAUUCAAAAUCGCUUCAAAAAGUCUAAGUGCUCUAGCAAAUUAUACUUGGUUACGCUUGAUUAGGAGGCUUAGACACUAAUCCAGCAAGUGAAAAGUCAAAUUUGCCCUUAAAAGCUCAAUUUUGGGUUAAAUUCAAAACUUGAAAUUUUGUAUAGAAACCUAAAUUUUUGUCAAACUAAAAGUUGUAGAGUUUAAUAUUUCUUGCAACUUUUCUAAUUAGCACUUUGGAUGGUUUCGACAGGAAGAGGUUCAAAAGCUAGAAUGAAAAUCAGUAGCAAUUCAAAAUCACUUCAAAAAGUCUAAGUUCUCUAGCAAAUUAUACUUGAUUAUGCUUGAUUAGGAGGCUUAGACACUAAUCCAGCAAGGCAAAAGUCAAAUUUUCCCUUGAAAGCUCAAUUUUGGGUUAAAUUCGAAACUUGAAAUUUCGUACAGAAACUUAAGAUUCUGUCAAACCGAAAGUUGUAGAUUUUUACAUUUCUAGCAACUAUUCCAAUUAGCACUUUGAAUGGUUUGGAGAGUAAGAGGUUCAAAAGCUAGAAUGAAAAUCAGUAGCAAUUCAAAAUCACUUCAAAAAUUCUAAGUGCUCUAGCAAAUUAUACUUGGUUAUGCUUGAUUAGGAGGCUUAGACACUAAUCCAGCAAGUGAAAUGUCAAAUUUGCCCUUGAAAGCUCAAUUUUGGGUUAAAUUCGAAACUUGAAAUUUCGUAUAGAAACUUAAGAUUCUGUCAAACUGAAAGUUGUUGAUUUUUACAUUUCUAGCAACUAUUCCUAUUAGCACUUUGAAAGGUUUGGAGAAUAAGACGUUCAAAAGCUAGAAUGAAAAUCAGUAGCAAUUCAAAAUCUCUUCAAAAACUCUAAGUGCUCUAGCAAAUUAUACUUGGUUAGGCUUGAUUAGGAGGCUUAAACACCAAUCCAACAAGUGAAAAGUCAAAUUUGCCCUUAACAACUCAAUUUUGGGUUAAAUUCGAAACCUGAAAUUUCGUACAGAAACUUAAGAUUCUGUCAAACGAAAGGUUGUAGAAUUUUACAUUUCUAGCAACUUUUCGUCGUAGCACUUUGAAUGGUUUGGAGAAAAAGAGGUCCAAAAGCUAGAAUCAAAAUCAGUAGCAAUUCAAAAUCACUUCAAAAACUCUAAGUGCUCUAGCAAAUUAUACUUGGUUACGCUUGAUUAGGAGGCUUAGACACUAAUCCAGCAAGUGAAAAGUCAAAUUUGCCCUUAAAAGCUCAAUUUUGGGUUAAAUUCAAAACUUGAAAUUUUGUAUAGAAACCUAAAUUUUUGUCAAACUAAAAGUUGUAGAGUUUAAUAUUUCUUGCAACUUUUCUAAUUAGCACUUUGGAUGGUUUCGACAGGAAGAGGUUCAAAAGCUAGAAUGAAAAUCAGUAGCAAUUCAAAAUCACUUCAAAAAGUCUAAGUUCUCUAGCAAAUUAUACUUGAUUAUGCUUGAUUAGGAGGCUUAGACACUAAUCCAGCAAGGCAAAAGUCAAAUUUUCCCUUGAAAGCUCAAUUUUGGGUUAAAUUCGAAACUUGAAAUUUCGUACAGAAACUUAAGAUUCUGUCAAACCGAAAGUUGUAGAUUUUUACAUUUCUAGCAACUAUUCCAAUUAGCACUUUGAAUGGUUUGGAGAGUAAGAGGUUCAAAAGCUAGAAUGAAAAUCAGUAGCAAUUCAAAAUCACUUCAAAAAUUCUAAGUGCUCUAGCAAAUUAUACUUGGUUAUGCUUGAUUAGGAGGCUUAGACACUAAUCCAGCAAGUGAAAUGUCAAAUUUGCCCUUGAAAGCUCAAUUUUGGGUUAAAUUCGAAACUUGAAAUUUCGUAUAGAAACUUAAGAUUCUGUCAAACUGAAAGUUGUUGAUUUUUACAUUUCUAGCAACUAUUCCUAUUAGCACUUUGAAAGGUUUGGAGAAUAAGACGUUCAAAAGCUAGAAUGAAAAUCAGUAGCAAUUCAAAAUCUCUUCAAAAACUCUAAGUGCUCUAGCAAAUUAUACUUGGUUAGGCUUGAUUAGGAGGCUUAAACACCAAUCCAACAAGUGAAAAGUCAAAUUUGCCCUUAACAACUCAAUUUUGGGUUAAAUUCGAAACCUGAAAUUUCGUACAGAAACUUAAGAUUCUGUCAAACGAAAGGUUGUAGAAUUUUACAUUUCUAGCAACUUUUCGUCGUAGCACUUUGAAUGGUUUGGAGAAAAAGAGGUCCAAAAGCUAGAAUCAAAAUCAGUAGCAAUUCAAAAUCACUUCAAAAACUCUAAGUGCUCUAGCAAAUUAUACUUGGUUACGCUUGAUUAGGAGUCUUAGACACUAAUCCAGCAAGUGAAAAGUCAAAUUUGUCCUUGAAAGCUCAAUUGUGGGUUAAAUUCAAAACUUGAAACCUUGUAUAAAAACCUAAAUUUUUGUCAAACUAAAAGUUGUAGAGUUUUACAUUUCUAGCAACUUUUCUAAUGAGCACUUUGGAUGGUUUCGGGAGGAAGAGUUUCAAAAGCUAGAAUGAAAAUAAGUAGCAAUUCAAAAUCAAUUCAAAAACUCUAAGUUCUCUAGCAAAUUAUACUUGGUUACGCUUGAUUAGGAGGCUUAGACACUAAUCCAACAAAUGAAAAGUCAAAUUUGCCCUUGAAAGCUCAAUUUUGGGUUAAAUUCGAAACUUGGAAUUUUGUAUAGAAACAUAAGUUUUUGUCAAACGAAAAGUUGUAGAGUUUUACAUUUCUAGCAACUUUUCUUAUUAGCACUUUGAAUGGUUUGGAGAGGAAUAGGUCCAAAAGCUAGAAUCAAAAUCAGUAGCAAUUCAAAAUCACAUCAAAAAACUCUAAGUGCUCUAGCAAAUUAUACUUGGUUACGCUUGAUUAGGAGGUUUAAACACUAAUCCAGCAAGUGAAAAGUCAAAUUUGCCCUUGAAAGCUCAAUUUUUGAAUUAAAAAUCAAUUCAAAAACUCUAAGUUCUCUAGCAAAUUAUACUUGGUUAGUCUUGAUUAGGAGGCUUAGACACUAAUCCAGCAAGUCAAAAGUCAAAUUUGCCCUUAAAAGCUCAAUUUUAGGUUAAAUUCAAAACAUGAAAUUUUGUAUAGAAACCUAAGUUUUUGUCAAACUAAAAGUUGUAGAGUUUGACAUUUCUAGCAACUUUUCUUAUUAGCACUUUGAAUGGUUUGGAGGGGAAGAGGUUCACAAGCUAGAAUCAAAAUCAGUAGCAAUUCAAAAUAACUUCAAAAACUCUAAGUGCUGUAGCAAAUUAUACUUGGUUACGCUUUAUUAGGAGGCUUAGACACUAAUCCAGCAAGUGAAAAAUCAAAUUUGUCCUUGAAAGCUCAAUUUUGGGUUAAAUUCAAAACUUGAAACCUUGUAUAAAAACCUAAAUUUUUGUCAAACUAAAAGUGGUAGAGUUUUACAUUUCUAGCAACUUUUCUAAUGAGCACUUUGGAUGGUUUGGAGGGGAAGAGGUUCAAAAGCUAGAAUCAAAAUCAGUAGCAAUUCAAAAUCACUUCAAAAACUCUAAGUGCUCUAGCAAAUUAUACUUGGUUACGCUUGAUUAGGAGGCUUAAACACUAAUCCAGCAAGUGAAAAGUCAAAUUUGCCCUUGAAAGCUCAAUUUUUGAAUUAAAAAUCAAUUCAAAAACUCUAAGUUCUCUAGCAAAUUAUACUUGGUUAGUCUUGAUUAGGAGGCUUAGACACUAAUCCAGCAAGUCAAAAGUCAAAUUUGCCCUUAAAAGCUCAAUUUUAGGUUAAAUUCAAAACUUGAAAUUUUGUAUAGAAACCUAAGUUUUUGUCAAACUAAAAGUUGUAGAGUUUACAUUUUUAGCAACUUUUUUUAUUAGCACUUUGAAUGGUUUGGAGGGGAAGAGGUUCACAAGCUAGAAUCAAAAUCAGUAGCAAUUCAAAAUCACUUAAAAAACUCUAAGUGCUCUAGCAAAUUAUACUUGGUUACGCUUGAUUAGGAGGCUUAGACACUAAUCCUACAAGUGAAAAGUCAAAUGUGCCCUUGAAAGCUCAAUUUUGGGUUAAAUUCGAAACUUGGAAUUUUGUAUAGAAACAUAAGUUUUUGUCAAACGAAAAGUUGUAAAGUUUUACAUUUCUAGCAACUUUUCUUAUUAGCACUUUGAAUGGUUUGGAGAGGAAUAGGUCCAAAAGCUAGAAUCAAAAUCAGUAGCAAUUCAAAAUCACAUCAAAAAACUCUAAGUGCUCUAGCAAAUUAUACUUGGUUACGCUUGAUUAGGAGGUUUAAACACUAAUCCAGCAAGUGAAAAGUCAAAUUUGCCCUUGAAAGCUCAAUUUUUGAAUUAAAAAUCAAUUCAAAAACUCUAAGUUCUCUAGCAAAUUAUACUUGGUUAGUCUUGAUUAGGAGGCUUAGACACUAAUCCAGCAAGUCAAAAGUCAAAUUUGCCCUUAAAAGCUCAAUUUUAGGUUAAAUUCAAAACAUGAAAUUUUGUAUAGAAACCUAAGUUUUUGUCAAACUAAAAGUUGUAGAGUUUUACAUUUCUAGCAACUUUUCUAAUGAGCACUUUGGAUGGUUUCGGGAGGAAGAGUUUCAAAAGCUAGAAUGAAAAUAAGUAGCAAUUCAAAAUCAAUUCAAAAACUCUAAGUUCUCUAGCAAAUUAUACUUGGUUACGCUUGAUUAGGAGGCUUAGACACUAAUCCAACAAAUGAAAAGUCAAAUUUGCCCUUGAAAGCUCAAUUUUGGGUUAAAUUCGAAACUUGGAAUUUUGUAUAGAAACAUAAGUUUUUGUCAAACGAAAAGUUGUAGAGUUUUACAUUUCUAGCAACUUUUCUUAUUAGCACUUUGAAUGGUUUGGAGAGGAAUAGGUCCAAAAGCUAGAAUCAAAAUCAGUAGCAAUUCAAAAUCACAUCAAAAAACUCUAAGUGCUCUAGCAAAUUAUACUUGGUUACGCUUGAUUAGGAGGUUUAAACACUAAUCCAGCAAGUGAAAAGUCAAAUUUGCCCUUGAAAGCUCAAUUUUUGAAUUAAAAAUCAAUUCAAAAACUCUAAGUUCUCUAGCAAAUUAUACUUGGUUAGUCUUGAUUAGGAGGCUUAGACACUAAUCCAGCAAGUCAAAAGUCAAAUUUGCCCUUAAAAGCUCAAUUUUAGGUUAAAUUCAAAACAUGAAAUUUUGUAUAGAAACCUAAGUUUUUGUCAAACUAAAAGUUGUAGAGUUUUACAUUUCUAGCAACUUUUCUUAUUAGCACUUUGAAUGGUUUGGAGGGGAAGAGGUUCACAAGCUAGAAUCAAAAUCAGUAGCAAUUCAAAAUAACUUCAAAAACUCUAAGUGCUGUAGCAAAUUAUACUUGGUUACGCUUUAUUAGGAGGCUUAGACACUAAUCCAGCAAGUGAAAAAUCAAAUUUGUCCUUGAAAGCUCAAUUUUGGGUUAAAUUCAAAACUUGAAACCUUGUAUAAAAACCUAAAUUUUUGUCAAACUAAAAGUGGUAGAGUUUUACAUUUCUAGCAACUUUUCUAAUGAGCACUUUGGAUGGUUUGGAGGGGAAGAGGUUCAAAAGCUAGAAUCAAAAUCAGUAGCAAUUCAAAAUCACUUCAAAAACUCUAAGUGCUCUAGCAAAUUAUACUUGGUUACGCUUGAUUAGGAGGCUUAAACACUAAUCCAGCAAGUGAAAAGUCAAAUUUGCCCUUGAAAGCUCAAUUUUUGAAUUAAAAAUCAAUUCAAAAACUCUAAGUUCUCUAGCAAAUUAUACUUGGUUAGUCUUGAUUAGGAGGCUUAGACACUAAUCCAGCAAGUCAAAAGUCAAAUUUGCCCUUAAAAGCUCAAUUUUAGGUUAAAUUCAAAACUUGAAAUUUUGUAUAGAAACCUAAGUUUUUGUCAAACUAAAAGUUGUAGAGUUUACAUUUUUAGCAACUUUUUUUAUUAGCACUUUGAAUGGUUUGGAGGGGAAGAGGUUCACAAGCUAGAAUCAAAAUCAGUAGCAAUUCAAAAUCACUUAAAAAACUCUAAGUGCUCUAGCAAAUUAUACUUGGUUACGCUUGAUUAGGAGGCUUAGACACUAAUCCUACAAGUGAAAAGUCAAAUGUGCCCUUGAAAGCUCAAUUUUGGGUUAAAUUCGAAACUUGGAAUUUUGUAUAGAAACAUAAGUUUUUGUCAAACGAAAAGUUGUAAAGUUUUACAUUUCUAGCAACUUUUCUUAUUAGCACUUUGAAUGGUUUGGAGAGGAAUAGGUCCAAAAGCUAGAAUCAAAAUCAGUAGCAAUUCAAAAUCACAUCAAAAAACUCUAAGUGCUCUAGCAAAUUAUACUUGGUUACGCUUGAUUAGGAGGUUUAAACACUAAUCCAGCAAGUGAAAAGUCAAAUUUGCCCUUGAAAGCUCAAUUUUUGAAUUAAAAAUCAAUUCAAAAACUCUAAGUUCUCUAGCAAAUUAUACUUGGUUAGUCUUGAUUAGGAGGCUUAGACACUAAUCCAGCAAGUCAAAAGUCAAAUUUGCCCUUAAAAGCUCAAUUUUAGGUUAAAUUCAAAACAUGAAAUUUUGUAUAGAAACCUAAGUUUUUGUCAAACUAAAAGUUGUAGAGUUUUACAUUUCUAGCAACUUUUCUUAUUAGCACUUUGAAUGGUUUGGAGGGGAAGAGGUUCACAAGCUAGAAUCAAAAUAAGUAGCAAUUCAAAAUCACUUCAAAAACUCUAAGUGCUCUAGCAAAUUAUACUUGGUUACGCUUGAUUAGGAGGCUUAGACACUAAUCCAACAACUGAAAAGUCAAAUUUGCCCUUGAAAGCUCAAUUUUGGGUUAAAUUCGAAACUUGGAAUUUUGUAUAGAAACAUAAGUUUUUGUCAAACGAAAAGUUGUAGAGUUUUACAUUUCUAGCAAGUUUUCUUAUUAGCACUUUGAAUGGUUUGGAGAGGAAUAGGUCCAAAGGCUAGAAUCAAAAUUAGUAGCAAUUCAAAAUCACUUCAAAAACUCUAAGUGCUGUAGCAAAUUAUACUUGGUUACGCUUGAUUAGGAGGCUUAGACACUAAUCCAGCAAGUGAAAAGUCAAAUUUGUCCUUGAAAGCUCAAUUUUGGGUUAAAUUCAAAACUUGAAACCUUGUAUAAAAACCUAAAUUUUUGUCAAACUAAAAGUGGUAGAGUUUUACAUUUCUAGCAACUUUUCUAAUGAGCACUUUGGAUGGUUUGGAGGGGAAGAGGUUCAAAAGCUAGAAUCAAAAUCAGUAGCAAUUCAAAAUCACUUCAAAAACUCUAAGUGCUCUAGCAAAUUAUACUUGGUUACGCUUGAUUAGGAGGCUUAAACACUAAUCCAGCAAGUGAAAAGUCAAAUUUGCCCUUGAAAGAUCAAUUUUUGAAUUAAAAAUCAAUUCAAAAACUCUAAGUUCUCUAGCAAAUUAUACUUGGUUAGUCUUGAUUAGGAGGCUUAGACACUAAUCCAGCAAGUCAAAAGUCAAAUUUGCCCUUAAAAGCUCAAUUUUAGGUUAAAUUCAAAACUUGAAAUUUUGUAUAGAAACCUAAGUUUUUGUCAAACUAAAAGUUGUAGAGUUUACAUUUGUAGCAACUUUUCUUAUUAGCACUUUGAAUGGUUUGGAGGGGAAGAGGUUCACAAGCUAGAAUCAAAAUCAGUAGCAAUUCAAAAUCACUUAAAAAACUCUAAGUGCUCUAGCAAAUUAUACUUGGUUACGCUUGAUUAGGAGGCUUAGACACUAAUCCAACAAGUGAAAAGUCAAAUGUGCCCUUGAAAGCUCAAUUUUGGGUUAAAUUCGAAACUUGGAAUUUUGUAUAGAAACAUAAGUUUUUGUCAAACGAAAAGUUGUAGAGUUUUACAUUUCUAGCAACUUUUCUUAUUAGCACUUUGAAUGGUUUGGAGAGGAAGAGGUCCAAAAGCUAGAAUCAAAAUCAGUAGCAAUUCAAAAUCACUUCAAAAACUCUAAGUGCUCUAGCAAAUUAUACUUGGUUACGCUUGAUUAGGAGUCUUAGACACUAAUCCAGCAAGUGAAAAGUCAAAUUAUUCCUCGAAAGCUCAAUUGUGGGUUAAAUUCAAAACUUGAAACCUUGUAUAAAAACCUAAAUUUUUGUCAAACUAAAAGUUGUAGAGUUUUACAUUUCUAGCAACUUUUCUAAUGAGCACUUUGGAUGGUUUCGAGAGGAAGAGGUUCAAAAGCUAGAAUGAAAAUAAGUAGCAAUUCAAAAUCAAUUCAAAAACUCUAUGUUCUCUAGCAAAUUAUACUUGGUUAGGCUUGAUUAGGAGGCUUAGACACUAAUCCAGCAAGUCAAAAGUCAAAUUUGCCCUUAAAAGCUCAAUUUUAGGUUAAAUUCAAAACAUGAAAUUUUGUAUAGAAACCUAAGUUUUUGUCAAACGAAAAGUUGUAGAGUUUUACAUUUCUAGCAACUUUUCUUAUUAGCACUUUGAAUGGUUUGGAGGGAAGAGGUUCACAAGCUAGAAUCAAAAUCAGUAGCAAUUCAAAAUCACUUCAAAAACUCUAAGUGCUCUAGCAAAGUAUACUUGGUUACGCUUGAUUAGGAGGCUUAGACACUAAUCCAACAAAUGAAAAGUCAAAUUUGCCCUUGAAAGCUCAAUUUUGGGUUAAAUUCGAAACUUGGAAUUUUUUAUAGAAACAUAAGUUUUUGUCAAACGAAAAGUUGUAGAGUUUUACAUUUCUAGCAACUUUUCUUAUUAGCACUUUGAAUGGUUUGGAGAGGAAUAGGUCCAAAAGCUAGAAUCAAAAUCAGUAGCAAUUCAAAAUCACUUCAAAACUAAGUGCUCUAGCAAAUUAUACUUGGUUACGCUUGAUUAGGAGGCUUAGACACUAAUCCAGCAAGUGAAAAGUCAAAUUUGUCCUUGAAAGCUCAAUUUUGGGUUAAAUUCAAAACUUGAAACCUUGUAUAAAAACCUAAAUUUUUGUCAAACUAAAAGUUGUAGAGUUUUACAUUUCUAGCAACUUUUCUAAUGAGCACUUUGGAUGGUUUGGAGGGGAAGAGGUUCAAAAGCUAGAAUCAAAAUCAGUAGCAAUUCAAAAUCACUUCAAAAACUCUAAGUGCUCUAGCAAAUUAUACUUGGUUACGCUUGAUUAGGAGGCUUAGACACUAAUCCAGCAAGUGAAAAGUCAAAUUUGCCCUUGAAAGCUCAAUUUUUGAAUUAAAAAUCAAUUCAAAAACUCUAAGUUCUCUAGCAAAUUAUACUUGGUUAGUCUUGAUUAGGAGGCUUAGACACUAAUCCAGCAAGUCAAAAGUCAAAUUUGCCCUUAAAAGCUCAAUUUUAGGUUAAAUUCAAAACUUGAAAUUUUGUAUAGAAACCUAAGUUUUUGUCAAACUAAAAGUUGUAGAGUUUACAUUUCUAGCAACUUUUCUAUUUAGCACUUUGAAUGGUUUGGAGGGGAAGAGGUUCACAAGCAAGAAUCAAAAUCAGUAGCAAUUCAAAAUCACUUAAAAAACUCUAAGUGCUCUAGCAAAUUAUACUUGGUUACGCUUGAUUAGGAGGCUUAGACACUAAUCCAACAAGUGAAAAGUCAAAUGUGCCCUUGAAAGCUCAAUUUUGGGUUAAAUUCGAAACUUGGAAUUUUGUAUAGAAACAUAAGUUUUUGUCAAACGAAAAGUUGUAGAGUUUUACAUUUCUAGCAACUUUUCUUAUUAGCACUUUGAAUGGUUUGGAGAGGAAGAGGUCCAAAAGCUAGAAUCAAAAUCAGUAGCAAUUCAAAAUCACUUCAAAAACUCUAAGUGCUCUAGCAAAUUAUACUUGGUUACGCUUGAUUAGGAGUCUUAGACACUAAUCCAGCAAGUGAAAAGUCAAAUUAUUCCUUGAAAGCUCAAUUGUGGGUUAAAUUCAAAACUUGAAACCUUGUAUAAAAACCUAAAUUUUUGUCAAACUAAAAGUUGUAGAGUUUUACAUUUCUAGCAACUUUUCUAAUGAGCACUUUGGAUGGUUUCGAGAGGAAGAGGUUCAAAAGCUAGAAUGAAAAUAAGUAGCAAUUCAAAAUCAAUUCAAAAACUCUAAGUUCUCUAGCAAAUUAUACUUGGUUAGGCUUGAUUAGGAGGCUUAGACACUAAUCCAGCAAGUCAAAAGUCAAAUUUGCCCUUAAAAGCUCAAUUUUAGGUUAAAUUCAAAACAUGAAAUUUUGUAUAGAAACCUAAGUUUUUGUCAAAAGAAAAGUUGUAGAGUUUUACAUUUCUAGCAACUUUUCUUAUUAGCACUUUGAAUGGUUUGGAGGGAAGAGGUUCACAAGCUAGAAUCAAAAUCAGUAGUAAUUCAAAAUCACUUCAAAAACUCUAAGUGCUCUAGCAAAUUAUACUUGGUUAGUCUUGAUUAGGAGGCUUAGACACUAAUCCAACAACUGAAAAGUCAAAUUUGCCCUUGAAAGCUCAAUUUUGGGUUAAAUUCGAAACUUGGAAUUUUGUAUAGAAACAUAAGUUUUUGUCAAACGAAAAGUUGUAGAGUUUUACAUUUCUAGCAACUUUUCUUAUUAGCACUUUGAAUGGUUUGGAGAGGAACAGGUCCAAAAGCUAGAAUCAAAAUCAGUAGCAAUUCAAAAUCACUUCAAAAACUCUAAGUGCUCUAGCAAAUUAUACUUGGUUACGCUUGAUUAGGAGGCUUAGACACUAAUCCAACAAAUGAAAAGUCAAAUUUGCCCUUGAAAGCUCAAUUUUGGGUUAAAUUCGAAACUUGGAAUUUUGUAUAGAAACAUAAGUUUUUGUCAAACGAAAAGUUGUAGAGUUUUACAUUUCUAGCAACUUUUCUUAUUAGCACUUUGAAUGGUUUGGAGAGGAAUAGGUCCAAAAGCUAGAAUCAAAAUCAGUAGCAAUUCAAAAUCACUUCAAAAACUCUAAGUGCUCUAGCAAAUUAUACUUGGUUACGCUUGAUUAGGAGGCUUAGACACUAAUCCAGCAAGUGAAAAGUCAAAUUUGUCCUUGAAAGCUCAAUUUUGGGUUAAAUUCAAAACUUGAAACCUUGUAUAAAAACCUAAAUUUUUGUCAAACUAAAAGUUGUAGAGUUUUACAUUUCUAGCAACUUUUCUAAUGAGCACUUUGGAUGGUUUGGAGGGGAAGAGGUUCAAAAGCUAGAAUCAAAAUCAGUAGCAAUUCAAAAUCACUUCAAAAACUCUAAGUGCUCUAGCAAAUUAUACUUGGUUACGCUUGAUUAGGAGGCUUAGACACUAAUCUAGCAAGUGAAAAGUCAAAUUUGUCCUUGAAAGCUCAAUUUUUGAAUUAAAAAUCAAUUCAAAAACUCUAAGUUCUCUAGCAAAUUAUACUUGGUUAGUCUUGAUUAGGAGGCUUAGACACUAAUCCAGCAAGUCAAAAGUCAAAUUUGCCCUUAAAAGCUCAAUUUUAGGUUAAAUUCAAAACUUGAAAUUUUGUAUAGAAACCUAAGUUUUUGUCAAACUAAAAGUUGUAGAGUUUACAUUUCUAGCAACUUUUCUUAUUAGCACUUUGAAUGGUUUGGAGGGGAAGAGGUUCACAAGCUAGAAUCAAAAUCAGUAGCAAUUCAAAAUCACUUAAAAAACUCUAAGUGCUCUAGCAAAUUAUACUUGGUUACGCUUGAUUAGGAGGCUUAGACACUAAUCCAACAAGUGAAAAGUCAAAUUUGCCCUUGAAAGCUCAAUUUUGGGUUAAAUUCGAAACUUGGAAUUUUGUAUAGAAACAUAAGUUUUUGUCAAACGAAAAGUUGUAGAGUUUUACAUUUCUAGCAACUUUUCUUAUUAGCACUUUGAAUGGUUUGGAGAGGAAGAGGUCCAAAAGCUAGAAUCAAAAUCAGUAGCAAUUCAAAAUCACUUCAAAAACUCUAAGUGCUCUAGCAAAUUAUACUUGGUUACGCUUGAUUAGGAGGCUUAGACACUAAUCCAGCAAGUGAAAAGUCAAAUUUGUCCUUGAAAGCU